ACAUCGUCCAAUAUCAUUACGUUUAUCCCCUUCUUGUUCUUAUUUUCUUGUUCGCUCAGUAACUCACUCUCUUCCUCUGUUGCAAAAUCGAACGACAGUUGUUUUUUGUUCAUCGACAGACGGCCAUGGUUUUUGUUUAAAUCCGUAUCAGAACAGAGUUUGCCAGUUGUAUUAGAAUAGACGCAGCCUCCGCCAUAGACAAGGGGAGUUCGGUUUCAGUAAUGGGUUGCUCUUUCUUGCCGGCGCCGGAGGAAGAUCCACGUCUUUUCCGAGGUCUCAUUGAUAAGGACCGGAUAUAAACAAGUCAAGAGGAUCAAAGAAUUUGAGACUGUCAGGAGAGGAUAUAAAGAAUCAAACGUAGAAAGGGAUCUUUGGGUGCGAGUAGGAAAAAACAACCGAAUACCAAAAUCGAACUCCAAUUGUAAAUGCUGGAGGUGAUGGAUAUUCCAAUAGCUUUGUUCUUGAUUUUGAACUAGAAAAAUUAAACAAACCCCACAAAAGAAAAGACCCCCGGAUACGCCAAUAGAGAUAUCGACAAGUAGGAUUAAAAAACAGAGGAAGAAGGUAAAAUAGAGCUGAGUAUCUGUCAAUGUCAGGGGCUUUGAGAGAUUGGAUUUAAGAGAUGGGUGGGUAAGAAAUAAAACUAGUGAUUCAAAAACUAAGUUACAGAUACAAGUUUGAACAAUCAAUGAAUACAAAUUAAUUUUUAGUUUGAUUUUGCAAUAAAGGAAGAGAGUAAAUUAUUGAGCAAAGAUUUUGGAUGAUGUUAUCGAAGAAAGAAUUAGUAGAAGAUUGGAAAUAGAGAUGUUUACUGUUUAAUUACACAAUAGAGUUUGAUGGUUGAAGACGAUUGAAAAGUGGAGAAGAGAUUCAAGUUUGGAGCCUUAGAAAAGAUGAUGAAUCUGAAGUUCAUCGCCUCUGCUUCACGCCUGUUAAAUUAGCAACUUGCUAAUUAAAGUUAGUACCUUUGUUAAAAUAUCCCCGAGUUGUUAGUAGUAAUAUGCAUAGGUCGGAUUGGAGAUAAAUUAUGGACCAACUCGAGGUCUUAGCUGGCAAAAAUUGAACUCCAAUGGUCAACCCAUCAUAAUCCAAACUAGAAAUUUCAGAUUGGAUUGGGUUAGGGAUUUUGUAUCUUCCUUUUAUACUUGUAGUUGAAUUUUUGCACAGAAGAAAAUAGAUUAUUAAAUAGCUGCUUAGAAUGCCUGGAAGACAUGGGGGAUUAAAAGUUAAUUCAUAUGAAUUAUUGAUUUAA